rnacentral:rRNA from 1 species
UACGUAGGUUGCAAGCGUUAUCCGGAAUUAUUGGGCGUAAAGAGCUCGUAGGCGGUUCGUGGCGUCAGGUGUGAAAGUCCAUCGCUUAACGGUGGAUCUGCGCCGGGUACGGGCGGACUGGAGUGCGGUAGGGGAGACUGGAAUUCCCGGUGUAACGGUGGAAUGUGUAGAUAUCGGGAAGAACACCAGUGGCGAAGGCAGGUCUCUGGGCCGUUACUGACGCUGAGGAGCGAAAGCGUGGGGAGCGAACAGG